rnacentral:rRNA from 1 species
UACUUAGUGGCAGACGGGUGAGUAACAUGUGGGUAUCUUCCCUUUGGUGAGGAAUAACACGAGGAAACUUGUGCUAAUACCUCAUAAGUCUUUACGGAGAAAGCUUUAUGCGCCAAUGGAUGAGCCUGCACUUGAUUAGUUUGUUGGUAGGGUAAUGGCCUACCAAGACUGUGAUCAAUAGCUGAUUUGAGAGGAUGAUCAGCCACAUUGGGACUGAGACACGGCCCAAACUCCUACGGGAGGCAGCAGUAGGGAAUCUUGCACAAUGGAGGAAACUCUGAUGCAGCGAUGCCGCGUGAGUGAAGAAGGCCUUUGGGUUGUAAAGCUCUUUCGUCGGGGAAGAAAAUGACUGUACCCGAAUAAGAAGGUCCGGCUAACUUCGUGCCAGCAGCCGCGGUAAUACGAAGGGACCUAGCGUAGUUCGGAAUUACUGGGCUUAAAGAGUUCGUAGGUGGUUAAAAAAGUUGGUGGUGAAAUCCCAGAGCUUAACUCUGGAACUGCCAUCAAAACUUUUUAGCUAGAGUAUGAUAGAGGAAAGCAGAAUUUCUAGUGUAGAGGUGAAAUUCGUAGAUAUUAGAAAGAAUACCGAUUGCGAAGGCAGCUUUCUGGAUCAUUACUGACACUGAGGAACGAAAGCAUGGGUAGCGAAGAGGAUUAGAUACCCUCGUAGUCCAUGCCGUAAACGAUGUGUGUUAGACGUUGGAAAUUUAUUUUCAGUGUCGCAGCGAAAGCAAUAAACACACCGCCUGGGGAGUACGACCGCAAGGUUAAAACUCAAAUGAAUUGACGGGGACCCGCACAAGUAGUGGAGCAUGUGGUUUAAUUCGAAGAUACGCGCAGAACCUUACCAACACUUGACAUGUUCGUCGCGACUCUAAGAGAUUAGAGUUUUCGGUUCGGCCGGACGAAACACAGGUGCUGCAUGGCUGUCGUCAGCUCGUGUCGUGAGAUGUUGGGUUAAGUCCCGCAACGAGCGCAACCCUCACUUUUAGUUGCCAUCAUUUAGUUGGGCACUCUG